CACGAAGUUAGCCGUGACUUUCUAAGUAAUUACCGUCAAAUAAAGGCCAGUUACUACCUCUAUCUUUCUUCACUACCAACAGAGCUUUACGAGCCGAAACCCUUCUUCACUCACGCGGCGUUGCUCCAUCAGACUUUCGUCCAUUGUGGAAGAUUCCCUACUGCUGCCUCCCGUAGGAGUUUGGGCCGUGUCUCAGUCCCAAUGUGGCCGAUCAGUCUCUCAACUCGGCUAUGCAUCAUUGCCUUGGUAAGCCGUUACCUUACCAACUAGCUAAUGCACCGCUAGGUCCAUCCAAGAGUGAUAGCAGAACCAUCUUUCAAACUCUAAGACCAUGCGUUCUAGUGUUUGUUAAUCCGGUUAUUAGCUAAUCUGUUUCCAGGUGUUAUCCAGUUCUCUUGGGCUACGGUUACCCACGUUGUUACCUACUACCCCGGUCCGCCGUCCUCGCUUUGUUACUCGUACGUUUUCUA
rnacentral:rRNA from 1 species